CUCAUGUUAGGACGAGGUUCUCCUCCUGUUCCUAACAUGACCUUGUUUUAAUUGUUUGAAGGGGUUAUCCCCAAUCGAAAUAAAUCCAUACCAAAAGGGAAAGACAUGCAAAGUCGAAAGGAAUUUUGAUUCAAAGCAAAGUCGUGAGUAGUACAUUUACAGGUUUCUCGAGUUCCAUGGUCGUGGAAGGUCUGCUCCUCCUUGAGGCCCUCCGAUGAUGGAGUCGAUGGUCCCGAUUGGAGGCCGAUCUCCGGGCUGCUCCUCCCUCCUCGGCGGUUCAGGUUGUGGCAGGACCCUUGACCGAUCUUCUCUACCCUCAGGCCGGCGUCGAAUGAACCUAUCGGGUCGACCUCGCUGGAUGAGCUCCUCGAUCUCAUCUCGGAGUUGGAUGCAUUCCUCCGUGUCAUGGCCGUGGUCGUGAUGGUAGAG
rnacentral:lncRNA from 1 species